rnacentral:rRNA from 1 species
UAGGGAAUCUUCCACAAUGGACGCAAGUCUGAUGGAGCAACGCCGCGUGAGUGAAGAAGGUUUUCGGAUCGUAAAACUCUGUUGGUAGAGAAGAACGUUGGUGAGAGUGGAAAGCUCAUCAAGUGACGGUAACUACCCAGAAAGGGACGGCUAACUACGUGCCAGCAGCCGCGGUAAUACGUAGGUCCCGAGCGUUGUCCGGAUUUAUUGGGCGUAAAGCGAGCGCAGGUGGUUUAUUAAGUCUGGUGUAAAAGGCAGUGGCUCAACCAUUGUAUGCAUCGGAAACUGGUAGACUUGAGUGCAGGAGAGGAGAGUGGAAUUCCAUGUGUAGCGGUGAAAUGCGUAGAUAUAUGGAGGAACACCGGUGGCGAAAGCGGCUCUCUGGCCUGUAACUGACACUGAGGCUCGAAAGCGUG